rnacentral:rRNA from 1 species
GACGAACGCUGGCGGCGUGCUUAACACAUGCAAGUCGAACGGAAAGGCCCUGCUUUUGUGGGGUGCUCGAGUGGCGAACGGGUGAGUAACACGUGAGUAACCUGCCCUUGACUUUGGGAUAACUUCAGGAAACUGGGGCUAAUACCGGAUAGGAGCUCCUGCUGCAUGGGGGGGGUUGGAAAGUUUCGGCGGUUGGGGAUGGACUCGCGGCUUAUCAGCUUGUUGGUGGGGUAGUGGCUUACCAAGGCUUUGACGGGUAGCCGGCCUGAGAGGGUGACCGGCCACAUUGGGACUGAGAUACGGCCCAGACUCCUACGGGAGGCAGCAGUGGGGAAUAUUGCACGAUGGGCGGAAGCCUGAUGCAGCAACGCCGCGUGCGGGAUGACGGCCUUCGGGUUGUAAACCGCUUUCGCCUGUGACGAAGCGUGAGUGACGGUAAUGGGUAAAGAAGCACCGGCUAACUACGUG